AGCGAACGCUGGCGGCAGGCUUAACACAUGCAAGUCGAGCGCCCCGCAAGGGGAGCGGCAGCCGGGAGAGUAACACGUGGGAACAUACCUUUUGGUUCGGAACAACUGAGGGAAACUUCAGCUAAUACCGGAUAAGCCCUUACGGGGAAAGAUUUAUCGCCGAAAGAUUGGCCCGCGUCUGAUUAGCUAGUUGGUGAGGUAACGGCUCACCAAGGCGACGAUCAGUAGCUGGUCUGAGAGGAUGAUCAGCCUCACUGGGACUGAGACACGGCCCAGACUCCUACGGGAGGCAGCAGUGGGGAAUAUGGGACAAUGGGGGCAACCCUGAUCCAGCCAGGCCGCGUGAGUGAUGAAGGCCUUAGGGUUGUAAAGCUCUUUUGCCCGGGAAGAUAAUGACGGCACCGGGAGAAUAAGCCCCGGCUAACUUCGU
rnacentral:rRNA from 1 species